UACGAGGGGGGCGAGCGUUGUUCGGAAUUAUUGGGCGUAAAGCGCGCGCAGGCGGUCCUUUAAGUCCGCUGUGAAAGUCGGGGGCUCAACCCUCGGAUGCCGGUGGAUACUGUCGGGCUUGAGUACGGAAGAGGCGAGUGGAAUUCCUGGUGUAGCGGUGAAAUGCGCAGAUAUCAGGAGGAACACCAAUUGCGAAGGCAGCUCGCUGGGACGUUACUGACGCUGAGACGCGAAAGCGUGGGGAGCAAACAGG
rnacentral:rRNA from 1 species